AGCGAGGAAGAGGGUUUAUUCCUACCCAAUGCCUGAGAAAGGUAAGAGUGCCAUUACUACAGUACAAAAUGUUGUUAAGUAACGUAUUCUAACUGUUGAAUUGAAUGUUACUAAAUUAUAUCUUUUCACCAAGAGUUCCAGCGGGUGGUCAUGGAAACACUUUUGGAAAUCCGCGAUGAAUUGAAAUCACUCAACCAGCAGGGGGACAUUGAAGAUGAGGGUGAGCAGAUACGUCAGUUGCCGUUAAGGACGUUGGAGGAGGCUCAGCGCAUGUCGUUGGAAAUCAGUGGGCACCCCAGCAUAAAACGUUUACUGGUAAGUCAAAUAGAGAUGCUAAAAAUGAUAGAAAUCUAUACAUUGGUCACUCUUGAUAAUUUGAUUAUAUCAUACAGAUAAAACAACUGUCACACCUUGGGGGGAAGGACAUUAAGACCUGCACACGCAGGAUCCUGGACAGGUAUGAAUAUGACAGCAAGACAAUGUUUUUAAUAUAAUCAUGUAUUGUUGGUGUUUAUCAAGUCUUUCUAGUGAAUUGCAAGAGUAAGCAGUAUUAAGGUGCAUUCACACAGGCACUUGUGCAACAGCAGCGAGGGUUUCUCUUACAUUUUAAGGACUUGUUCCGCAAAUAAAGAGCAGCGCUGGACACGGUAUCCGACGAGAUCGAGGGGAAGCCUAGAGCGGGUGUGACGUAUUGCGCAAUGUGAAUUGACGGUGGUAAAGUGACACGUUUUAGGACACAAGACAGGACAAGUUGCGUUGCCUGUCCGGUGUGAACGCACCUUAAGAGAUUUAUUUGUCUUUGAUUUCCAUUUCAGAAUUUUACACAAUGACGUGCAGAGGAACUACAACCUCCUGGGUGGAGGACGCCAGGGGAAAAAAGGCUUUAAGAAAACUGCUUUCUUCACAGUUGUUCUUGGUAAAUGAAUUAUAUCUCUGCAAGUUAUUACUUAUUCUUGGUCAUGUUACUGACUCAUUUAAAGCCUGAAGCUGUAAAAAAGUGAAGAAUCCUUCCGGACAAUACUAGAUAAUUUCUACACUUACUGUGAUUCAAGUUUCUUUAGUUUUUUUUAUCUUUUUGCAGAGUCUGUUCGCACUAACUUCCCGACGGCAACAGAGGAACUGGUCGCAGCAUCGAUUGGGGACCAUUUGAAACAGGCACCAGCUCGAUGUGGUGGGAGGGGCACCACCAGAACACCACCCUGCUAAUUUUUAAAAAAUAUAUAUAUCUUAAAAUUGUUAAUAUUUAUAGUUCAUUUCAGUAUUAGUAUUAGUUAAAUUUU